ACGAAGGGGGCUAGCGUUGCUCGGAAUUACUGGGCGUAAAGGGAGCGUAGGCGGAUAGUUUAGUGAGAGGUGAAAGCCCAGGGCUCAACCUUGGAACUGCCUUUCAUACUGGCUAUCUUGAGUACGGGAGAGGUGAGUGGAACUCCGAGUGUAGAGGUGAAAUUCGUAGAUAUUCGGAAGAACACCAGUGGCGAAGGCGACUCACUGGCCCGUUACUGACGCUGAGGCUCGAAAGCGUGGGGAGCAAACAGGAUUAGAUACCCUGGUAGUCCACGCCGUAAACGAUGAGUGCUAGUUGUCGGCAUGCAUGCAUGUCGGUGACGCAGCUAACGCAUUAAGCACUCCGCCUGGGGAGUACGGUCGCAAGAUUA
rnacentral:rRNA from 1 species